rnacentral:rRNA from 1 species
CCGCCAGAAAACUACGAGCGAAAAGCUUAAAACUCAAAGGACUUGGCGGUGCUCCACACCGACUUAGAGGAGCCUGUCCUAUAAUNGAUACCCCACGCUAAACCUCACCAAUCUUCGCCAAAUCAGCCUAUAUACCGCCGUCGCCAACCUACCUCAUGAGAGAAAAACAGUGGGUUCAAAAGUCUAACAACUAAAACGUCAGGUCAAGGUGUAGCUAAUAGAAUGGAAGAGAUGGGCUACAUUUUUU